rnacentral:rRNA from 1 species
UACGUAGGGGGCAAGCGUUGUCCGGAUUUAUUGGGCGUAAAGAGCUUGUAGGCGGUUAGGUAGGUCCGUUGUGAAAACUCGAGGCUCAACCUCGAGACGCCGAUGGAAACCAUCUGACUAGAGUCCGGAAGAGGAGAGUGGAAUUCCUGGUGUAGCGGUGAAAUGCGCAGAUAUCAGGAAGAACACCCGUGGCUAAGGCGGCUCUCUAGUACGUGACUGACGCUGAGACGCGAAAGCGUGGGGAGCGAACAGG